AGGGGGCAAGCGUUGUCCGGAAUCAUUAGGCGUAAAGAGCGUGUAGGCGGCCAAGCAGGUCAGCUGUGAAAACUCGAGGCUCAACCUCGAGCUGUCGGUGGAAACCGUAUGGCUAGAGUCCGGAAGAGGAGAGUGGAAUUCCCGGUGUAGCGGUGAAAUGCGCAGAUAUCGGGAAGAACACCCGUGGCUAAGGCGGCUCUCUAGUACGGUACUGACGCUGAGACGCGAAAGCGUGGGGAGCGAACAGG
rnacentral:rRNA from 1 species